GUCACUGUACUUUUUGUUUUGAUUUUUCAACUACUACAAAGAAAGUAAAGGUAAUAUAAUUACUAAUAAUAAAGAAAUAAACAUAGGUGAGAUACUUUUACCUAUAGAGAUGAAUGAAUUCACAUGUGGAUAAAUCUUUGGCGUAAAGAUGCAAGAAGAAUUGGUAUAGCUGCACAUCCAGACCCAAACCCAUGACAUUAUAGUCAUGCUAUCUUGUUGCACCACGCCUUAGCAAUAAUCUCCAUGAUCACGUCUUUGUAGAAUAUGAAUUCAUGUCCCCUGUCUAUGACUCAUUCCCCCAUUGCCAUUGUUGGUUGAGUCUCAUGCCUUAGCUUUACUUACUGCGGAAUUUGUUGUUCUCAAUCUUUUGUAAUUACUUCUUAUUCCUCCAAUCUUUGUAUGCUAGUGUGUCCUAGAAAGCUUGUGAACCUUGGAACCGAAAGUGAAUAAAAUUACUCUGUUGUUACUUUAAUUUGUGGACUCUCCCUUCACUUUUCUUCUUUUGUUUCAGCAUCCUUUUUAUUGUCAUCCUCUUCUACCAUAUAUCUCUCUUUUAUUUUGGAUUUGUGCUGUUUUUGUUGCAAAAGAAAAGAAAAGGUUGUGGGCCGGAGAAGGAAC